GUCCUUGCCGUAAACGAUGUGUACUUGAUGUAGUUGGGCUCAACCCUGACUGUGUCGUAGCGAACGCGAUAAGUACACCGCCUGGGGAGUACACUCGCAAGGGUGAAACUCAAAAGAAUUGACGGGGACCCCGCACAAGCAGUGGAGUAUGUGGUUUAAUUCGAUGCAACGCGAAAAACCUUACCUAGGUUUGACAUAUAUGAGACCAAGUAAGAAAUGAUUCUUUCCCGCAAGGGACUCAUAAACAGGUGCUGCAUGGCUGUCGU
rnacentral:rRNA from 1 species